rnacentral:rRNA from 1 species
AGUGAACGCUGGCGGUAGGCCUAACACAUGCAAGUCGAACGGCAGCACAGUAAGAGCUUGCUCUUACGGGUGGCGAGUGGCGGACGGGUGAGGAAUACAUCGGAAUCUACUUUUUCGUGGGGGAUAACGUAGGGAAACUUACGCUAAUACCGCAUACGACCUACGGGUGAAAGCAGGGGAUCUUCGGACCUUGCGCGAUUGAAUGAGCCGAUGUCGGAUUAGCUAGUUGGCGGGGUAAAGGCCCACCAAGGCGACGAUCCGUAGCUGGUCUGAGAGGAUGAUCAGCCACACUGGAACUGAGACACGGUCCAGACUCCUACGGGAGGCAGCAGUGGGGAAUAUUGGACAAUGGGCGCAAGCCUGAUCCAGCCAUACCGCGUGAGUGAAGAAGGCCUUCGGGUUGUAAAGCCCUUUUGUUUGGAAAGAAAAGCAGCAGGUUAAUACCCCGCUGUUCUGACGGUACCCACAGAAUAAGCACCGGCUAACUUCGUG